AUACUGGUAAUGUUGUUCUGAGGAGACCUCUAACAGGAAACCCAGAUUCAGUGUAUGAGUUCCAGGCUCUUGUACGUGACAAAGGUGUACCAUCCCGGGAGCAGUCACAACGAGCAACUGUGAGAAUUACUGUCCGCCGCAACAACAAUGCCCCCUUCUUUGUUGGUAGCCCCUACUCAGUUACAAUCAAUGAAGAUCAAGCUGUGGGGUCACAGAUCCUACCUGUUGUUGCACAGGACUCUGAUGUCAAUAGUCCAUUUAACCAAGUGACACUUCGUGUGAUUGGUGAUGAGAAAGGACCAAUAUACUUUGGUUUGGCCAACAAUCAAAUCAAUGUCACUAGGAACCUUAUUUUGGACGCAGAAAAUGAUCUCCGUUAUACACUGCGCAUUGAAGCAAGAGAUGGAGGGUCCCCUGCCCGUUCUGCCACAGCGUUGGUUUACAUAACUGUCAACAGGAACCUUAAUCCUCCGGUGUUCACUACCCAAGCUUACAGUGCCAGGAU